GAGUUUGAUCCUGGCUCAGGAUGAACGCUGGCGGCGUGCUUAACACAUGCAAGUCGAACGGGGGUGCCAUGAACGAAGCAUCAGUUUACUGAUAUGGAGGGAAUGGGACCCUAGUGGCGGACGGGUGAGUAACGCGUGGGUAACCUGCCCCAUACCGGGGGAUAACACUUAGAAAUAGGUGCUAAUACCGCAUAAGCGCACGGUACUGCAUGGUACAGUGUGAAAAACUCCGGUGGUAUGGGAUGGACCCGCGUCUGAUUAGCUUGUUGGCGGGGUAACGGCCCACCAAGGCGACGAUCAGUAGCCGGCCUGAGAGGGUGGACGGCCACACUGGGACUGAGACACGGCCCAAACUCCUACGGGAGGCAGCAGUGGGGAAUAUUGCACAAUGGGGGAAACCCUGAUGCAGCGACGCCGCGUGAGUGAAGAAGU
rnacentral:rRNA from 1 species